ensembl:miRNA mdo-mir-12355 mdo-mir-12355
GCGGAGGUCCGUUUCCACUCUGAAGUUAUAUGAUUCAGAGCUGGAAUGGACCUCAGAGG